rnacentral:rRNA from 1 species
AAUCAACGCUGGCGGCGUGCCUCAGACAUGCAAGUCGAACGAUUAAGACUUCCUUCGGGAAGCGUAUAAAGUGGCGCACGGGUGAGUAACACGUAAGUAAUCUACCCUCGAGUGGGGAAUAACGUUCGGAAACGAACGCUAAUACCGCAUAAUGCAGCGGCAUCGCAAGAUGACAGUUGUUAAAGGAGUAAUUCGCUUGAGGAGGAGCUUGCGGCAGAUUAGCUAGUUGGUAAGGUAACGGCUUACCAAGGCUACGAUCUGUAUCCGGUCUAAGAGGACGGGCGGACACACUGACACUGAAUAACGGGUCAGACUCCUACGGGAGGCAGCAGUCGGGAAUUUUGGGCAAUGGGCGAAAGCCUGACCCAGCAACGCCGCGUGAAGGAUGAAGUAUUUCGGUAUGUAAACUUCGAAAGAAUGGGAAGAAUAAAUGACGGUACCAUUUAUAAGCUCCGGCUAACUACGUGCCAGCCGCCGCAGUAACAC